UGGGGGGCAGCCGUCCAAUGCCUGCUCGAACAGAUCCCUGGCCCUCUCCAGCUUCCUGCCGCCGUAACGCGCCACGAACUUGCUCAGGUAGGUGUGCCACACGUCCGCCACGUUGGGCCACCGGAACAGCGCCACGCCGCGCUCGUACGCCUGCACCGCCACGGGCACCAUGGGCACCGGGGGCACCGGGGGCACCGGGGGCACCGGGGGGCGCCAGUGGGGCACCGUUGGGGCACCAUUGGGGCACUAUUGGGGCACUUUGUGGCAGCACUGGGGCACCUUUGGGUCACUUUGUGGCACCAUUGGGUCACUUUGUGGCACCACUGGGUCAUUUUGUGGCAGCACUGGGGCACCAUUGGGUCACUAUUGGGUCACUUUGUGGCACCACUGGGGCACCACUGGGGCACGAUUGGGUCGCAUUGGGGCACUAUUGGGUCGCUUUGUGGCACCACUGGGGCACCAUUGGGGCA
rnacentral:lncRNA from 1 species